rnacentral:rRNA from 1 species
UACGGGGGGAGCAAGCGUUGUUCGGAUUUACUGGGCGUAAAGGGCGCGUAGGCGGUCGUGACAAGUCACUUGUGAAAUCUCCGGGCUUAACUCGGAACGGUCAAGUGAUACUGUCGGACUAGAGUACAGAAGGGGCAACUGGAAUUCUCGGUGUAGCGGUGAAAUGCGUAGAUAUCGGGAGGAACACCAAUGGCGAAGGCAGCUCGCUGGGCCGGUUCUGACGCUGAGGCGCGAAAGCGUGGGGAGCAAACAGG